AAACAUAGCCUUAGGAAUAGAUAUAAGGUUAGACCUGCCCAAUGUGUAAAUCAUCAAUGGCCGCGGUACUUUGACCGUGCUAAGGUAGCGCAAUCAAUUGGCUUUUANUUGGAGCCAGGUAUGAAUGGAGUCACGGGGUUUAGCUGUCUCUUAAUUAAUUUAUCGAAGUUACUAUAUAGGUGAAAAAGCCUAGGAAAAGAAAAAGGACGAGAAGACCCUUAGAGUUUUACCUAAACUAGAAUAAUUUCUAAAACAGUUUAGUUGGGGCAACAUAGGAGCAGGAUUAUUUAAUCUCCUGAAAUUAACGAACCGAUAGUUAUAAAAUUGUAUAAACUACCUUAGGGAUAACAGCAUAAUUUUAUUAAUAAGUUUGUGACCUCGAUGUUGGACUAGGAAACUGAAAGGCUAGCCGCCUUUUAGGAAAGUUCUGUUCGAACUAUUAUUCCUACGUGAUCUGAGUUCAGACCGG
rnacentral:rRNA from 1 species